GUGGCUAUGGCUCAGUGGUAGAGCACUUGCCUAGCAUGUUGAGGCACUGGAUUAGAUUCUCAGCACCACAUAUAAAAUAAAAUAAAUUAAAUAAAGGUCCAUGGCUGAGGAUGUGGCUCAAGUGGUAGCGUGCUCGCCUGGCAUGCAUGCGGCCUGGGUUCGAUCCUCAGCACCACA
rnacentral:tRNA from 1 species